AGCAGGACCAAAGGUAAGUUAUUUCAUUUCAUAUUCUCAUAUGGAAUGAGAAGGCCAGAAAUGGAUCAAUUUGGGUUGAGUCCCAUUGUAAAAAACACAUUCCUAGCAGAAUUUAACUUUUUUUUUUUUUCAAUUCUAGUACAAAACGUAUGAGUCCAUAGGAGGAAAUGGCAGUAGAGAUUUUGUGAUACGAUGUCUGAAGAGGUCGUUCACAAAUGACAUGGCUGAGUUGUGUUCAUGGACUGGUCAAAAAGACAAUUACAAAGUAGCUGACAGUCCAGUAAUGAAAAUAUUACACAGUGCAGUAAAGAAGACAACUGGAGUGUCCGAAAAGGACUUCGAGAUAUAUGUCAAGGAUUGGCUCCGACAUGCCAAACAACGGAAAGAGAGGAUGUUAAAAAAAAACCAAUAAAUUAAAAUAUAUAUAGUAUUUUUGUAUAGGUGGUCAAAUGAAGACCGGCUCUGUUUGUUAAUUUUAUUAUUUUAUGAGAGAUAUAUUUCAUUUUUUUGUGACGUUUGUUUUUUUAUAUUAGAUUAAAUAAUUAUUUAUUA